rnacentral:rRNA from 1 species
GACGUAGGGCGCGAGCGUUGUCCGGAUUUAUUGGGCGUAAAGAGCUCGUAGGCGGCUUGUCGCGUCGUCCGUGAAAACUCACAGCUCAACUGUGAGCUUGCGGUCGAUACGGGCAGGCUGGAGUUCGGUAGGGGAGACUGGAAUUCCUGGUGUAGCGGUGAAAUGCGCAGAUAUCAGGAGGAACACCAAUGGCGAAAGCAGGUACCUGGACCAUUACUGACACUCAGCUGCGAAAGCUAGGGGAGCAAACAGG